rnacentral:rRNA from 1 species
CCUACGGGAGGCAGCAGUGGGGAAUAUUGGACAAUGGGGGCAACCCUGAUCCAGCCAUGCCGCGUGUGUGAAGAAGGCCCUCGGGUUGUAAAGCACUUUCAGUGAGGAAGAACGCCUGGUGGUUAAUACCCAUCAGGAAAGACAUCACUCACAGAAGAAGCACCGGCUAACUCCGUGCCAGCAGCCGCGGUAAUACGGAGGGUGCGAGCGUUAAUCGGAAUUACUGGGCGUAAAGCGCGCGUAGGUGGCUUGAUAAGCCGGUUGGGAAAGCCCCGGGCUCAACCUGGGAACGGCAUCCGGAACUGUCAAGCUAGAGUGCAGGAGAGGAAGGUAGAAUUCCCGGUGUAGCGGUGAAAUGCGUAGAGAUCGGGAGGAAUACCAGUGGCGAAGGCGGCCUUCUGGACUGACACUGACACUGAGGUGCGAAAGCGUGGGUAGCAAACAGGAUUAGAUACCCUAGUAGUC